GAUGAACGCUGGCGGCGUGCCUAAUACAUGCAAGUCGAGCGAACGGACGAGAAGCUUGCUUCUCUGAUGUUAGCGGCGGACGGGUGAGUAACACGUGGAUAACCUCCCUAUAAGACUGGGAUAACUUCGGGAAACCGGAGCUAAUACCGGAUAAUAUUUUGAACCGCAUGGUUCAAGAGUGAAAGACGGUCUUGCUGUCACUUAUAGAUGGAUCCGCGCUGCAUUAGCUAGUUGGUAAGGUAACGGCUUACCAAGGCAACGAUGCAUAGCCGACCUGAGAGGGUGAUCGGCCACACGGGAGCGGAGACACGGUCCAGACUCCUACGGGAGGCAGCAGUAGGGAAUCUUCCGCAAUGGGCGAAAGCCUGACGGAGCAACGCCGCGUGAGUGAUGAAGGUCUUCGGCUCGUAAAACUCUGUUAUUAGGGAAGAACAUAUGUGUAAGUAACUGUGCACAUCUUGACGGUACCUAAUCAGAAAGCCACGGCUAACUACGG
rnacentral:rRNA from 1 species